CACAGAGGUCUCAAGCGUUGUUCGGAUUCAUUGGGCGUAAAGGGCGCGUAGGCGGUCAGCACAAGUCAGUUGUGAAAUCUCCGGGCUUAACUCGGAAAGGUCAACUGAUACUGUGCGACUAGAGUGCGGAAGGGGCAACUGGAAUUCUCGGUGUAGCGGUGAAAUGCGUAGAUAUCGAGAGGAACACCUGCGGCGAAGGCGGGUUGCUGGGCCGACACUGACGCUGAUGCGCGAAAGCGUGGGGAGCGAACAGG
rnacentral:rRNA from 1 species